rnacentral:rRNA from 1 species
GUCCCAUUCCGAACCCGGAAGUUAAGUCCUCAGAGGCCGAUGAUACUGAGACCCGUUGGUUUUGGGAAAGUAGGUAGCUGCCUAGU